UUUUUAAAAUGGUUUUGAAUUAAAAUACAACAACUUUACAUUAUUAACAAAAUGAACAUAUGAGUGUAAUAAAGGCAUAAACAUAAAAAGAAACUAAAAUGCUAAAAGAAAAAAAAUGCCAAAAAAGGUCACACAUGAGUAUUGAACCCACCCCACUCGAGAACAUACACACUACCCUUCUCCACCAGACCACUCAGGGUUAUAUGCUACUGAAGUACUACCUUAAAUAUAUAAACCGGAAUGAAAAAAUAAAUAAAAAAAAGAUUAAGAACAAAACUAACAUAUAAAACCUUUUUAUGUUUUUGUUUAUUAUUAUCUUUUAUCUCUGUUAAACAAAACAAAUUUGAUUAAAAAAAUUAAAUUAAAAAAAGAAAUGAAAACAAAGAAAUGAAAACAAAAGAAAACAGAGGCUCGUCUUCUUCUCUCCCACCUCACAAACUCAACCUUCCCCCAACAAUGGCAAUCUCACGAACUCGCACCUCUCGUCCCUCUUAUGACAUCAACAAAACCCUCUCACGCUCUCCAACUCAGUGAAUCGAACUCUCUCAACUCUCACAAAUAUUUUCAACAACAAAACAAGAGAAGGAUAACAAGAAAGAAAAAGAGUCCUUACAAAGUGUCGCGGCGGUGGUGGUGAAGGACGCGAAGAAGCUGGCCUCCAGGUAAUUGAUUUUGGGAUCUUAGGGUUCC
rnacentral:lncRNA from 1 species